CGCCUUGCUUAGUAUAACUUUCACAACUGCGUUGUAAUCCCAGAAGGACGUGCAACGUGACGUUGUUGACCCAGGCGUUCUCGAUCGAUCGAUCGAUCGAUCGAUGGAUCUACAGAUCGAUGGACGCAACGCGGCGUUUAUCGGCCUGUAACCGAGCCAAUUCUCCGUCUGGUGGUGGAUGGACAUCAUAAAGUCUUGAAACCCGCAAGUCAGCCGCAUCCCUUGAAGAACUAAGGGCUGUAACACUGAUCCAGACGGAGUCGGGUUAUGGUGAAGUUUCUUUCAGGGCUAGCAAAAAGAACUGGCGAAAGCCGUGGCAAUAAAGCACACCAAAGUCAAUCAGGACCCAUGUGCCUUCCUAUGUGCAAAGUUUCGCGGGAAUCGGCUUGGCCCAAACGAAACUUCACCCUAACUUGUAGUUGAAAACUGGCGGACAUCCCUUUCGAAAACCGUUAAAGAUUACCCAUAA